rnacentral:sRNA from 1 species
GCGAUUUCAAGAGAAGUUUUUUAUUUUUGCUUUGACACCUCAACAAGUUAGAGAGAUAUGCAUAUCCAGGGAUUUUUUGCCAGGUGGUAGGAGAGAUUAUACAGUCCAAGUUCAGUUGAGACUUUGCCUGGCAGAGACAAGUUGCCCUCAAGAAGAUAACUAUCCAAAUAGUCUAUGUAUAAAAGUAAAUGGGAAGCUAUUUCCUUUACCUGGCUAUGCACCACCGCCUAAAAAUGGGAUUGAACAGAAGCGCCCCGGACGCCCCUUGAAUAUUACAUCUUUAGUUAGGUUAUCUUCAGCUGUGCCAAACCAAAUUUCCAUUUCUUGGGCAUCAGAAAUUGGGAAGGUAAAAGCUCUCUGUUUUGGGUAGCAGGACAGUGACCCCACUGAGGGUUGACUUACUGUGUUUUUUCUUAAGCUGUUGGCUUCAGCUCUUUUUGUUUUGAUUGUAAUCUCUAAAAAGCAGUAAUUUUCAGUUCAGAGGUGGCAGUGUGGAGAUUCUUAAAGUUAAAAACUUUGAGCUUUCCUGAAUAUCAUCUCUUUAUUUUCCUGGAAAGGAAAUAUGCAUAUUUAUAUUUCUU